rnacentral:rRNA from 1 species
GAUGAACGCUGGCGGCGUGCCUAAUACAUGCAAGUCGAGCGAACAGACGAGGAGCUUGCUCCUCUGACGUUAGCGGCGGACGGGUGAGUAACACGUGGAUAACCUACCUAUAAGACUGGGAUAACUUCGGGAAACCGGAGCUAAUACCGGAUAAUAUAUUGAACCGCAUGGUUCAAUAGUGAAAGACGGUUUUGCUGUCACUUAUAGAUGGAUCCGCGCCGCAUUAGCUAGUUGGUAAGGUAACGGCUUACCAAGGCGACGAUGCGUAGCCGACCUGAGAGGGUGAUCCGCCAAACUGGAACCGAGACACGGUCCAGACUCCUACGGGAGGCAGCCGUAGGGAAUCUUCCGCCAUGGGCGAAAGCCUGACGGAGCAACGCCGCGUGAGUGAUGAAGGUCUUCGGAUCGUAAAACUCUGUUAUUAGGGAAGAACAAAUGUGUAAGUAACUAUGCACGUCUUGACGGUACCUAAUCAGAAAGCCACGGCUAACUACGUG